CCCUUAGAUGUCCUGGGCCGCACGCGCGCUACACUGACAUGUUCAACAAGCCUCCUAGUUCGACAGGAUUUGGGAAAUCUUUGAACGCAUGUCGUGAUAGGGAUAGAUCAUUGCAAUUAUUGAUCUUGAACGAGGAAUUCCUAGUAAACGCGAGUCAUCAGCUCGCAUUGAAUACGUCCCUGCCCUUUGUACACACCGCCCGUCGCUCCUACCGAUUGAGUGGUCCGGUGAGGCUUUGGGAUCUGAGCGGAAAGAGCGUUUCGCUGUUUCUGCUCGGAAAACUCAGUCGAACCUUAUCAUUUAGAGGAAGGAGAAGUCGUAACA
rnacentral:rRNA from 1 species